AUUGAACGCUGGCGGCAUGCCUUACACAUGCAAGUCGAACGGCAGCACGGGUGCUUGCACCUGGUGGCGAGUGGCGAACGGGUGAGUAAUACAUCGGAACGUACCUUAUCGUGGGGGAUAACGCAGCGAAAGCUGUGCUAAUACCGCAUACGCCCUGAGGGGGAAAGCGGGGGAUCGAAAGACCUCGCGCGAUUAGAGCGGCCGAUGCCUGAUUAGCUUGUUGGUGGGGUAAAAGCCCACCAAGGCGACGAUCAGUAGCUGGUCUGAGAGGACGAGCAGCCACACUGGGACUGAGACACGGCCCAGACUCCUACGGGGGGCAGCAGUGGGGAAUUUUGGACAAUGGGGGCAACCCUGAUCCAGCAAUGCCGCGUGAGUGAAGAAGGCCUUCGGGUUGUAAAGCUCUUUUGUCAGGGAAGAAACACCGGCUCUAACACAGUCCGGGAAUGACGGUACCUGAAGAAUAAGCACCGGCUAACUACGUGCCAGCAGCCGCCGUAA
rnacentral:rRNA from 1 species